ensembl:lncRNA
CCAGUGUUUGAGGGCGGACCUAAGAGGCAGGCUUUACUAAGGAAGCCGAGAGGGAAGUAGCGUGGGCAGGAUCAGUGGAGGGAUGCGGAGGUACUGAUAUUUUAUGUACUUCCAAAAGUAUACCAACACGCAAAUUAUACGUCAACUAUUCAUUUGCAUAAGCCACCGAGUUACCGUAAUUGCCACCAGUGGCUUUUCUUCUUUUCCUAUCCUACAGGAUUCCCUUCGUAAAUCAGCCGGUGGGACUCAUGUGGGAGGGCCAGAAAACAGACGAGAAAGAGAAGGGAGGAAGAAAGGAGGACAAUCACCUUCAUUUUCCUUUUCCUACUCAUCUUUAAGGACGAUGCCAUGAGUAUGCCCCUGUAGCUUCAGGAAUGGCCCAGUCCAACCGCCUCAAUCUUUUCACUGUUUCGCAGCACUCUGGGACAAGGUUCUGCUUCCGAGGUCACCUCAGCUUGUCGCCAAGACUUUAACAGAGGCUGUUCAAGACAGGUUAGGAAAGGUGAGGAGUGAAGGAUGUCCCUGCUUCCGUAUUUAACUGGGAGGGAGGCAGAUAAAGAGCUGAAGAUGAAGGACUGGAAAGACGGCUCAGUGGUUUAGUGCUGUUGCUCUUGCAGAGGACCACAGUUCAAUUCUCAGCACCCACAUGGUUGCUUGAUAUCCACAACUCCACUUCCAGGGAGUUCCAAUUCCAUCUUCUGACCUCUGCGGGUACCAGAUACAUACAUAGAUGGAGGCAAAACAUUCAUACAGCUAUAGCUUGAAAUGCCUGCAUAAAACCUGCAGCAGGCACAAAAGUAGAACAAAUGGAGUUCUUAUUUACUGGAGACACUGGGCAAAACCUUGUUAAAUCAACACAGAAGGCCUGGCUGCAGAGUAUACGGUGGAAGGAUGGACGGCUUCUGUGAACCCUGCAGGGCAGAACUCAGUAUCCAGUAGGAUAAAAAAGAAAGGGCAUUCUAAGAGGUGAAAAAACAAUGUUUGCUGAAUAAUACAGAUCAGAGCCCGAGGACAGGACAGACAGACAGACCAGGCUAAGGCAGGGGGUGGGGUGGCCACAGCAGCGGAAGGUAAGCAAAGAAGAGCUUACUCUGUCACUGUGUGUCUGGGCUGGUGAUCACCAGUCCACCUGACAGGACCACAGUUCCGGGUUAGCUUCCAACCAGCUGUAUCAAGAGGUGGUGACCUUGUGGUAGCCUAGAGUUUAAAAUGUUACAUCUUCCUCCAACCUAGGAUUCCCUGGGGCCGCACAAGUAGGCUUUAUUUUUUUUUUUUUUG